rnacentral:rRNA from 1 species
UACGUAGGGUGCGAGCGUUAAUCGGAUUUACUGGGCGUAAAGCGUGCGCAGGCGGCCCGUUAAGACAGGUGUGAAAUCCCUGAGCUCAACUUAGGAAUUGCGCGUGUGACUGGCGGGCUCGAGUACGGUAGAGGGGGGUGGAAUUCCUGGUGUAGCAGUGAAAUGCGUAGAGAUCAGGAGGAACACCGAUGGCGAAGGCAGGCCCCUGGGCCUGUACUGACGCUGAGGUGCGAAAGCGUGGGGAGCAAACAGG